CGCACAUUGCGCCUUCUGGUAUUCCGGUAGGCAUGUCUGUUUGAGCGUCAGCAAACACCCUCAGCCGAGUUCUUUUUGUUCUCACGCUGGUCUUGGGCUUUGGAGGCUGGCUGGUCUGUUGAGGACCUGCCUGCGCCUGCCCUAAACUUGCUGCACGACCGUAGGCUAUUGGCUGGGUCAAUGGAGUGGUGUUUUCAAUCUUCCAUCAAACCCUCGCUGGAGUCCUGCGGCGUUAAGCCUGAUGUCCCGCGCUCUGCGCCCGACUGAAAUCUUGACCUCAGAUCAGAUAAGGAUACCCGCUGAACUUAA
rnacentral:misc_RNA from 1 species